UACGGAGGAUCCAAGCGUUAUCCGGAUUUAUUGGGUUUAAAGGGUGCGUAGGCGGGCAGGUAAGUCAGUGGUGAAAUCUCCGAGCUUAACUCGGAAACUGCCGUUGAUACUAUUUGUCUUGAAUACUGUGGAGGUAAGCGGAAUAUGUCAUGUAGCGGUGAAAUGCUUAGAUAUGACGUAGAACACCAAUUGCGUAGGCAGCUUACGAGACAGCGAUUGACGCUGAGGCACGAAAGCGUGGGGAUCAAACAGG
rnacentral:rRNA from 1 species